GGCGGACGGGUGAGUAAUGCUUAGGAAUCUGCCUAUUAGUGGGGGACAACAUCUCGAAAGGGAUGCUAAUACCGCAUACGUCCUACGGGAGAAAGCAGGGGAUCACUUGUGACCUUGCGCUAAUAGAUGAGCCUAAGUCGGAUUAGCUAGUUGGUGGGGUAAAGGCCUACCAAGGCGACGAUCUGUAGCGGGUCUGAGAGGAUGAUCCGCCACACUGGGACUGAGACACGGCCCAGACUCCUACGGGAGGCAGCAGUGGGGAAUAUUGGACAAUGGGGGGAACCCUGAUCCAGCCAUGCCGCGUGUGUGAAGAAGGCCUUAUGGUUGUAAAGCACUUUAAGCGAGGAGGAGGCUCUUUUGGUUAAUACCCAAGAUGAGUGGACGUUACUCGCAGAAUAAGCACCGGCUAACUCUGUGCCAGCAGCCGCGGUAAUACAGAGGGUGCAAGCGUUAAUCGGAUUUACUGGGCGUAAAGCGCGCGUAGGCGGCCAAUUAAGUCAAAUGUGAAAUCCCCGAGCUUAACUUGGGAAUUGCAUUCGAUACUGGUUGGCUAGAGUGUGGGAGAGGAUGGUAGAAUUCCAGGUGUAGCGGUGAAAUGCGUAGAGAUCUGGAGGAAUACCGAUGGCGAAGGCAGCCAUCUGGCCUAACACUGACGCUGAGGUGCGAAAGCAUGGGGAGCAAACAGGAUUAGAUACCCUGGUAGUCCAUGCCGUAAACGAUGUCUACUAGCCGUUGGGGCCUUUG
rnacentral:rRNA from 1 species